AGAGCAGGUCUGUGUCUCCACCUUGAGCCAGGGGAGCAGACCCAAGGGGCCCUCUGGAGCUGAGCAAACCCCCUGCCCAGGCUCUGUCCUCCUUCUUCCUCUGCAGAUUGGCCUCAUGGAGGUGCUGGUGGAGAAGAUUUUUGACCUGGCAUUCAUGCCCGCAAUGAACGCUGUGCUGGGUUCUGGCGUCCCUCUCCCCAAAAUCCUCAACAUCGACUUUAGCAAUGCAGACAUUGACGUGUUGGAGGACCUUUUGGUGCUGAGCGCAUGAGUGACAGAGGCAGAGAUGCUGCUGCAACUGGAAGAAGCUGGAACCAGUCCCAGAGAGGCUCGGCCUGGAAACAGUCCCCUGCCCAGAGUCCCCUCAGCCUCCAUGACAGGUCCCUCCCUGGCCCCCCAACCCUCUUCCUCCCUUGCCCCAACCCUGAGAAAGGAUCCAGCCACUACCCUGUUGGCAAACAUUCCCUUCCAUGGUCAGCCUGCCAGGAGGAGGGGAGUCACCUUGGGGCUGGAGGCCUCUCAGACCCCAUCCUGACAGCAGGUUGAGUAUUCCCACUUUCAAUAAAAGACUCCACUUUCCUGGCA
rnacentral:sRNA from 1 species